ensembl:lncRNA
GAGCAAACAGUUAAAACCAGAAGCAGGGUGCAUAACUGCAAGCAGCGUGUUCAGCUUCAGAUGCAUCUAGUCCUGUAACAUCUACCUGAAAGAGCAAUUCUGUCUCAUGGAAGGUGCCUCAUCAACUUAAUUGGGAACACAGAGGGAAGUUAGAAAUAGUGGGCUGAAUGAGGGUUUGUUUGUGGGAGUAACAUGGUGCCUGUGAAAGGACCAAAGCAAUGGGCAAAUAGUCUCGCAGGCUUUUUUGUUUGUUUGUUUUCUGCAUGGUAUUUUACCACCAUCCAUUUUUUUUUUUUCAAGGUUUACCAAUGAUUUGAAUGAAAUUCAUCCAAACCAAGACUUGAUAUUCAAGGCUGCCCCUCGGCAAAGAGGGGUUUUGCAUUCAUUAAUAUUGCCUUGGGAUGAAGGAAGGAACAGGAGAGCCCUGAUUGACCUUGGACAUUUAUAAAGGCCUUUGGGCUGAUUACAAAGCAUUUGCAGAAAGAUGCAGUAUGAUGCAGCACGACCCACAGAAAUGCCCAGAAGUGCCCAGCUCAUCUAAGUGAGAAGGCAGCUGGCAGGAAAUCAACCUCAGAGAAGAUGGAAAUAAAAUGAGUCAGGAAAAACAGAGUUAAGGGAAGGAAAGUACAGCAACUCUCAAUGACUGUUUUAAAAAGCAAAGGAAAAGGGAGCUGAGAUGACAUACUUUGCACGCUGCUGCCUGAACAAGAGGAGAUACAGGACACCACACUGUGGACUGCAAAGUCAGCUCCUCUCUAUGCCUCAUCAGACAUUUUAGAAGCUGAGAAACUAGGCUUUAAAAUUCCUACUCAUACUUGUCAUUUCAAUGGAUAUUUCCAACUAAGUAAAUGAAUCAGCAAUAUUAGCCCACCAAAUAAACAGAGAAAAAAACCUUCAAAUGCCUUAAAAACAAUUGUCUGUGGUUUUAAAUAGAAUAGACUUGUAACAGAUACCAAAAUAUAUCAUUCAACUGAAAACCAGUUCCACGAAUUCACUGACAUGCUUUCUGGUUUGCAUCAGAAGAGGCGACGCCUUGUUCAGCAGCACCUUACUGCACGAGAGUGUCAGUGGAUCUGCUUGCAGAAUGCUGUGAUGGCAGCAGGAAGAGGAACAGAAGAGACAUGGCCCCUUUCUCUCAUUAUGCUUGAUUAUUUUUUAAAGUUCAAUGAACUGAUCCAGCCCUGUUAUUCAACAAGCAUCAUGACAUAUCCAGGUUGACUUCUAGCACCUAAACCAUGAGCCAUGAUUUUAGACUCCACAAAACAUGAUGAUCAUGAAGAUAGAAGACAGCAGAUGUGGACUGCUGUUGGAAGGGCUGCAGAAAGGCUUCCUGUUUGGGAGAGAACUUGCUAAGUGACAUAUUCAAUUAAUGGAGCCUUUUAAUUUAAACUUGAUAUGGCCAGUGCAAAAGACUGGAUGGAAUGAAGAGCACAGCAUCAACCUCAAAGGUUUUAUAAGUACCCAUCACAGAUUAUUCAAACACAUCUGCACAGUGUUAGAAUAUACUCCAUACACUGCCUGCCCGCACAAUUCUUAUGUUGAAUUUGACAUUUUAUGCUUCACUUAAAAAUGCUUAAUGGCUCUGACCCUGUACACCUUGCAGAGCCGCUGUCCCUCGCUGCUCUCAGCCUCACUGGGCUCAGGGUUGGCAGUGGGCUGAAGACCUCCUCCAGUUUGAAGGGAAGACCCCACAAUAACAAAGUUUUGUGUCUAUGGUUGCUCAUAAGUCCUUGGAAAAUGAACUGCGUUGUUCUGAGGUGUGCAUAAGCUAUGGAAAUUAAAAAUGCAACGGUGUAUGUCGUCUGUAUUAACUGCCCAAGCAUAGGUCAGCUAUAUUUUGAAGACCAAACCUUGUGUUCCACAAAAUGCUGCUCUUCCAAUAGAGCAACAAAGUGAAAGCUAAAUCCAAUUUAAAAUAAACUGCAGCUCUCAAAUGGUUGUGUUUUCAAUGCCAUAACUUAGCAGUUCAAAAAACAAGGCAAAAACUUUUUUACUUGUCAAUGCACAAACAAUAUUACCACUUACAGAGAACUGUCAAGUGGGAAAACUUCUUUCAGCAGAAUUAAGAAGAACCACACUUUACAAUACAUUUAUUACAAAUGUUCAGAAAAGCCCUGGUCACUGAAAAAAUCCCAACAUCACCAAUAUUCCUUGUUCAAUCGUUACUGAUGUUCUUAAUGGAUGAUAAGUUGCUCCAUUAGAUAAAGUUUUUUACUUCUUAAAUGAGGUGUGAGGGAAGGAGAACUACAGAGGCAAGCAAUUAUAUUUCUAACAGAAAAUAAAGCAAGUUAAAUGCAUCUGAACCAAAACUCAAUUCCAAAUAGUUUUCCCAUCUCAUGUGCAUUUUCAAUAUUGCAGAUACUAUUUGCAUCCUAAAUGAGAAUGAAAAGCUGUAAAAGUUUUUUGAUGCAAAAACUUAAGAAAAAUUUGUUUCUGUUAAUUGAGUUCAAAUCUGCAACCUUUUACGCUUUCCAUUUAACGCAUUUUUGCUAGAUAGUACAUAUUUCCAAACAAAACGUAAGGAAAUGGAAGUUCCAGGAAAUGAUGUAAAAUCCUGCAUGAACAAUUUGCAAAGUACUUUUCAAAAAAUCUUAUAAAUGGAAAUGAAAUUUCAAAGGUAGACUACUACAGCAAACUAUUUCACACUUGAAAAAUCCACAUAUUUUGUAAAAAAAAUAGAUUUUGACAGAUUAUUUUCGGUCAACUCUCUGUGAUAUCAAUAUCUCAAGUCCAUGAACUGUCAGACUGUGUGAAGCAAUUACAAAUACUGAACGUGUAAAUAAGUAUCUCCAUUUAAAUUACUUCAUACUUCUUCACACAAGAAACAUAAAUGCAAGAAUAGAACAAUCUGACUGUAAACAUCUAAAUAUGUCCUUUAAAAGCCAAAGGAAUGUCAGAAACAAUUUAUUUUCAGCCAGUGCAAACUGAGACAUUAAGUGGCAAUUCUACUUCCAUUAGCUAAAUCUGGCAAAUAUGCAACUGUUUAAAGGCAUUGUCAAUAGCUAUUGCACAAUUAAGUAUUUGUACUGAUGCCUUAUUAAAUUACCCUUUUCAAGUAGGCAUAAUAAACUAGGAGCUCACUGUACAGAUUUUCAUGGUGAAAGUCCAGAUCAGUGGAAAAUUUAUUUAAAGAGAAUGCAGUCCACUGAGUAAUGAAGUAAAUGUCAAACGGUCUUGG